rnacentral:rRNA from 1 species
CCUACGGGAGGCAGCAGUGGGGAAUAUUGGACAAUGGGCGAAAGCCUGAUCCAGCCAUGCCGCGUGUGUGAAGAAGGCCUUCGGGUUGUAAAGCACUUUCAGUGGGGGAGAAAGCCUUGGGGCUAAUACCCUCGAGGAAGGACAUCACCCACAGAAGAAGCACCGGCUAACUCCGUGCCAGCAGCCGCGGUAAUACGGAGGGUGCGAGCGUUAAUCGGAAUUACUGGGCGUAAAGCGCGCGUAGGCGGUCUGAUAAGCCGGUUGUGAAAGCCCCGGGCUCAACCUGGGAACGGCAUCCGGAACUGUCAGGCUAGAGUGCAGGAGAGGAAGGUAGAAUUCCCGGUGUAGCGGUGAAAUGCGUAGAGAUCGGGAGGAAUACCAGUGGCGAAGGCGGCCUUCUGGACUGACACUGACGCUGAGGUGCGAAAGCGUGGGUAGCAAACAGGAUUAGAUACCCCAGUAGUC